AGAAGACCUCCGAAAAUCAAGCCUUGGCGGGCAAACGCAGGGUGCAAAAAAACGGGAUGACAUCUCGAAGAGUCAUCCCGU
rfam:Pseudomonas oryzihabitans strain TSDA-ARS-TSMARC-56511, complete genome.